CUGCACCCCACAUCCUGUCCUGUUUUGAGAGGAGGAGGGAAGAGAAAUAAACGUGGCAGCGCACACAAGGCCAGCGGGGAGACACCUCCAGCUCGCAAGGCUUUUCACCCUCAUCUUUUCAGUCCUGGAAAAGGAAUUCGGGCUUUCAGUCUCCAACGUCUGCAGUCUGUAUUUCUGCCCUUUAGUCUGUCUUUGCCUGAAGCUCUAACUAAACCGAAGGAAGAAGCAACCUUGAAACCUCCGAGGUCCAUUUGCCUCUUAGGCUCUGUGCAACUGCAGGUCCAGUGGAAAACAGCUAACUGCUUCUCAUCCCAGGAAGGUGGGUUCUGCUCAGCUCACAGCCUCAGCAAAACUCACAAGCCUGAGCUGAAGACCUCACCUUGACGUGCACACAUCCCACUUAGGCAAGCCAAUUCUACACCCUGGAUCAG
rnacentral:lncRNA from 1 species